rnacentral:rRNA from 1 species
GCCGCAGUAUUUUGACUGUGCAAAGGUAGCAUAAUCAUUAGUUUCUUGAUUGGAAGCUGGUAUGAAUGGUCGGAUAAGGAAAUCUCUGUCUCACUUUUAUUAUGUAUAAUUUUAUUUUUGAGUUAAAAAGCUCAAAUUCUAUAGAAAGACGAGAAGACCCUAUAGAGUUUAAUAGGAUUUUGUUUUAAUUAUAUUAGGUUUUUAAAGUAUUUAUUUCAUGACUUAUUUUGUUGGGGUGACAUUAGAAUUUAAAUAACUUCUUUUUUUAUAUACAUUGAUUUAUGAAUAAUUGAUCCUGAACUUUGGAUUUUAAGAAUAAAUUACCUUAGGGAUAACAGCGUAAUUUUUUUAGAGAGUUCUUAUCGAUAAAAAAGAUUGCGACCUCGAUGUUGGAUUAAAGUUAAAUUUUGGUGCAGAAGCUGAAAUUUUA